AUUGAACGCUGGCGGCAGGCCUAACACGUACAAGUCGAGCGGAUGAAGGGAGCUUGCUCCUGGAUUCAGCGGCGGACGGGUGAGUAAUGCCUAGGAAUCUGCCUGGUAGUGGGGGAUAACGUCCGGAAACGGGCGCUAAUACCGCAUACGUCCUGAGGGAGAAAGUGGGGGAUCUUCGGACCUCACGCUAUCAGAUGAGCCUAGGUCGGAUUAGCUAGUUGGUGGGGUAAAGGCCUACCAAGGCGACGAUCCGUAACUGGUCUGAGAGGAUGAUCAGUCACACUGGAACUGAGACACGGUCCAGACUCCUACGGGAGGCAGCAGUGGGGAAUAUUGGACAAUGGGCGAAAGCCUGAUCCAGCCAUGCCGCGUGUGUGAAGAAGGUCUUCGGAUUGUAAAGCACUUUAAGUUGGGAGGGAGGGCAGUAAGUUAAUACCUUGCUGUUUUGACGUUACCAACAGAAUAAGCACCGGCUAACUUCGUG
rnacentral:rRNA from 1 species